ACAUGAAAUCCUAGAGAGAAACAAAAUAAGUUGAUCAUGAUGAUGUUGUUGCUAUUCGCUUAACUACAAACUGAUAUACAAGACAGUCUGUUACCAGUUAUUGUGGAGCCACCAGUGUCCUUUGGAUCAGCCCAAGUCAAGAGGGCCAUCUCGUGGCGGAUGCUCGCUAUUUCUGGAGGAGCAGGUGCCCCGGGCACAUCUGGAAGCACAGACAGAGAGAGGGUUAGUUGGACACCUCCGCACCACCAUCGUCUUUGGGCGGUCCCCACUCCAGGGUUAUGCCGUCAGCAGUGAUCUCAUCAAACUUAAUGGGUCCUGUGCAGAUGCCAGGCUUACCGACCACCUUCAGCUGGAUCUUGCAGUCCUUGGAGCCAGCGCUGUUUCUGACAUUGAUGGUGAUGUAAGCGGUAAUGUGGCUUCCACCGUCGCUGAAGGGCUUCUUCCAGCCCAGGACGACAGAGUCCUUGGUGGUCUUCAGGGCUUUGAAGUCUGUCACUGGACCAGAUUGCUCUGAAGGGGGAGGACAGAUGAGUUAAGAGUAUUCUCCUCCGCUGCAUAAAACAACAAUGACUUGUAACUACCUGAGGCUCGGACGAUCCCGGCAGUCUCACAGCCCUCUCCGAUGCCGUAGGCGUUUUCAGCCAGCACUCUGAAGCAGUAGGCCUGUCCCGCCUCCAGGUUGGUGACCCUGAAGGAGAUUUUGUGGCAGUCUGCUGACACGCAGGUCCAGGCCUUCCUCUCUGCCAGACGUUUCUCUACGACAUAGCUCUUGACUGGGCUGCCGCCGUCAAUCAGUGGGGCGUCCCAGGUGAUGCAGGCGUGGCUUCUGGAGGUCUCCUUUACGAUCAGGUUCAAAGGUGGUCCAGGAGAAUCUGAGGGUGGGGGGAGAAGCAGUAUCUCUGGGUCAGAGAUUUUGUUAACUGAACUGAGAUACAAUUCAGAUUGUAGAUGGACAUAAUGGGAGUGAAAAUAUCUUAAUACUAAUGCUGACUUUCACUGUUUCUGCAAUCACAGUUUUAGUGGA